rnacentral:lncRNA from 1 species
GAUCGCUUGAGCCCAGGAGUUCUGGGCUGCCGUGCGCUAUGCCGAUCGGGUGUCCGCACUAAGUUCGGCAUCAAUAUGGUGACCUCCCGGGAGCGGGGGACCACCAGGUUGCCUAAGGAGGGGUGAACCGGCCCAGGUCGGAAACGGAGCAGGUCAAAACUCCCGUGCUGAUCAGUAGUGGGAUCGCGCCUGUGAAUAGCCACUGCACUCCAGCCUGGGCAACAUAGCGAGACCCCGUCUCUUUUGUACCCUCAGGAAGAAAUUUUUGAACCCCCAGAAAAGAAACAAAUGACCUUGUGAUCCUACCAUCUUUUCAUCGCCGGAACAUUUUACGUCCUUUUAAUUAAUUUUACACUCGGGGAAAGGAUUUUGCCUCAACUCAGCACUGACACCUACUGGGAUAAAUUUACAAAAUAACAAAAUCAGCUGUAAUAAUUAGGAGUCAACAGUAGGAGUUUCUGUUUGGUCAAACAGAAUCCGUUUUCAAAGUUUUUUCCUUUUUUAUUGACACACUCCUCAUAGAAGUACACCUACGUCAUUCCAUAAAAAUGAUGCGAGCCUUAGUGUGUUUGAUAUUUACAUGUAGUUGGUUGAGUUUAAAGUGAGAAACGAGUAAAUGUGCAACGUAUGUUGCUUUGACUAGGUGAUUGGUGACAAAACAACUAGUGAAAACCAAAUACCGUCUGAUAAUCUGCUGAAAGAUUUCUAAAUUCCACGUGGUCGUUUAUAAUGCCUCUAGAUAAACCUAGAACGUUAUAUGGAUCUGAAAUAAAAGCUUUAACUAUGAAACGUACCACAACGUGCAAUAAUCCAGGAAACUUUGACACGUGAACCCUUAUUUUAUAACUGAAAUACAACACUUCUGGAAGGUAAGUUACUUCAGGAUUCUGGUGGAGUGCCCCUCCCAGUCAUUAAAUUAGGCACUUUUUUACAUGAUGAAGGAAGGGGACAAGUCAGAUUAAAACACCAGAUAUGGCUAGAGUCCUGCCCCUAAAACUUGCAUAUGUAGUGAGGAAAACAAGAUGAACUCAAAGAGCCUUUUCUUCCAGUUUCAACUUUUGUCACUCAGUGACCUGUCUGCAACUAAAGCAGAACGUACGGUAUUCACAGAUGGAUGUGCUCGUGGAGUUCAAGAGGAGCAAAGGAGAAAUUAAUUCCAGCUUAAGAAAAAGAAAAAUGUACCAUAAUCUCCUUGGCCAGAUAACCCCUACUGAUAUUUUCUUUUUGAAAAAAUAAAAUACUUAGAAGAUUGAAACAUUCUAACAGUACAGAAUAUAGACAUUGUAUUUUUAAUUUAACCACAUUGGAAUGAUCUACAUGUAAAACACUAUUAGUCCAGAUAUCUCCUAUUUUCUUCCUCAGAUUAUUCUCA